AUAAAUGAAUUCUGAUUUGGGGAUGCAGAUGCCAACUUAGAGCCUCGUACCAAUCUCUCUGUGUUUAAAAGGUGAGGUGACUUGGUGAUUUGCCUGGAAAAUUGUAGGUGCCCAGCUAAGACCAGGAUGCCAUCACCCUACCCAGGGCUCUGCAGUUUUCUCAUGGUGAACCCUUGAUGGAUUUGUUGUUGCUUGAGAAAUGGCUAUGAUCGAAGUGGGAUUUGAAAGACAGAAUUUUCAUCCGUUAAAGAGGAAGAGUGCAUUGCUGUUGAAACUCAUAGCUGUUGUCUUUGCUGUGCUUCUAUUUUGUGAAUUUUUAAUCUAUUACUUAGUGAUCUUUCAGUGUAAUUGGCCUGAAGUGAAAACCACAGCCUAUGAUGGUGAACAGGCCUCACGUGAGCCUGUGCUCAAAGCCAUGUUUUUGGCUGACACCCAUUUGCUUGGGGAAUUCUUAGGCCACUGGCUGGACAAAUUACGAAGGGAAUGGCAGAUGGAGAGAGCCUUCCAGACAGCUCUGUGGUUGCUGCAGCCGGAAGUCGUCUUCAUCCUGGGGGAUGUCUUUGAUGAAGGGAAGUGGAGCACCCCUGAGGCCUGGGCGGAUGAUGUGGAGCGGUUUCAGAAAAUGUUCAGACACCCGAGUCACGUACAGCUGAAGGUAGUUGCUGGAAACCAUGACAUUGGCUUCCAUUAUGAGAUGAACACAUACAAAGUGGAACGCUUCGAGAAAGUGUUCAGCUCUGAAAGACUGUUUUCUUGGAAAGGCAUUAACUUCGUGAUGGUCAACAGCGUGGCGCUGAACGGGGACGGCUGUGGCAUCUGCUCUGAAGCAGAAGCAGAGCUCAUUGAAGUUUCUCACAGACUGAACUGCUCCCGAGAGCAGGCACGUGGCUCCCGCCGGUGUGGACCUGGGCCUCUGCUGCCCGUGUCUGCCCCCGUCCUCCUGCAGCAUUAUCCUCUGUAUCGGAGAAGUGAUGCUAACUGUUCUGGGGACGACGCUGCUCCUCCAGAGGAAAGGGACAUCCCAUUUAAGGAGAACUACGACGUGCUUUCACGGGAGGCAUCACAAAAGCUGCUGUGGUGGCUCCAGCCGCGCCUGGUUCUCAGUGGCCACACGCACAGCGCCUGCGAGGUGCACCACGGGGGCCGAGUCCCCGAGCUCAGCGUCCCGUCUUUCAGUUGGAGGAACAGAAACAACCCCAGUUUCAUCAUGGGAACAGAUGCUUAGUUGAGCAUCAAGGGGCAGGAAGACACGGUUCCCUCCUUGUUCCUUGCUGACCAAUGACCCUGGAACUCCAUGUACCUCUCUGAAUCUCUGUUACGGAUCUCCCAUUAUAUUUGAUGGGAACCCGGUGGGCCAGGGGCCAGUUCUGACAGGGCAGCAUCACGCCCACAGACUACGCCCUCUCCAAGUGCUACCUCCCACGUGAGGACGUGGUUUUGGUCAUCUACUGUGGAGCGGUAGGCUUCCUUGUGGUCCUCACACUCUCUCACUUGGGGCUUUUAGCCUCACCUUUUCUUUCUGGUUUGAACUUGCUCAGAAAGCGUAAGACAAGAUGAAGAGCAGGCGCCAUUGUAAAUAUCAAAGCCCAAGAAAUGGAACUUUGGGCAGAGAUCAUGUUAGAAUCAAGUGGAUGAUGAGACCAAUUACAGGCCGUCUCUCUGCACAUCACAGAAAUUCUCAAUCACUGACAUGAGUAACUGCAAAAUAAAUAGUUGAUUGUACUGUUCUCAUGCUAGCAAAGUGGACAGGUACUCUACAACAAAUCUGUUUUCUCAUUUUUAUCAAAUAUAUGUAUCAUCGAAGGUUGCAUCUGUACAGUAUUAAAUGCUAUUAAUGUCGUCACUCACAUGCACGACAGUCCUUGUUCCCCCAGGAAGGGCCUGGUGGCCCCAGCACACACUUGGGAUUAUGUGUAUACGUAAAUAUUGGGCUGUUUCCCUCGUCCUGUGAAGUGGUUCUCGAAUUCCUAUGUCCCGUAAAGCUGUACCCUUGAAAGUGCAGAUGUGGCUGGACGCGGCGGCUCACAUCUGUAAUCCAGGAGUUUGGGAAGCUGAGGCGGGUGGAUCACUUGAGGUCAGGAGUUCAAGACCAGCCUGGCCAACAUGGUGAAACCCCUUCUCCACUAGAAAUAUAAAAAUCAGCCAAGCGUGGUGGCACACGCCUGUAAUCCCAGCUACUUGGGAGGCUGAGGCAGGAGAAUCCCUUGAACCCAGGAGGCGGAGGUUGCAGUGAGCCGCGAUCGUGCCAUUACACUCCAGCCUGGGCAGCACAGCGAGACUCCGUCUCAAAAAAAAAAUAAUUAAAAAAAAAAGUACAGAUGUGAUAUGCAGAACAUACUGUUUUCAUAGAUUUUUAUACUUGAUCAAUUAAUGGAAUCAGAUUUUUAAAUAAGUGUAAUUUUCUCUAUAGGAGACCAAGUUGUUACAUCUGAUAAUGCCUGUCAGUGAUCAAAAGAAACUUGAAAAGUAGAAUGGGAUAUGGCUUUUGGUACCUGAAAAUAAAUGCUUUAAUAAUUGUAAGCCA